rnacentral:lncRNA from 1 species
CUCUCAGGAUCCAAAUACACUUGGUGGUUUUGUGUAAAAAUAAUGCACACUCCUUCCCUGUGGCUGAGGAUGAGAAGAUGGCGUUGGGUCGUGAUAGAUGGGAUUUAUUCCCCAAGCUGUUUGGAACCGCGAGCCGAUUGAAGGAGGAGAAGAAGGCCAUUGUCAAUGCUGCUGAUUGUUGACGCCUCAUCACCUGGAACACCUAGUACAUGGGAUAAGCUCAAUGUGGAUCAGUGAUGCAAGAGCUUUAUACAGCCUCAAUGAAGACAGCAGUGAGACUGAGCGAUCAGCUUAUCACAAAUCACUCUUCUGCUUCCCUGGGAGUGCGCUCUGCAACAAAGCAUUAAGCCGGAACUUUUGCCUUAGGCCCUGAUUUCUGAGAGCCCUUGGCCAUGAAAGUCUUUUUCCUCGUUCUCACUUUUCCCUACAGAUUUGUUCAAAGACUGGUGUUAUCAUCACCUUUUUGAGACCCUAUAAUUGAGAUUUGGAGAUAUUGAAGCAAAGGAGAAGUUUAUUUUGAAAUGCCUCUGUUAGCUCAUGGCUUUCACUGUAAAUACAGAUGGUGGGAAUGUAAUAGGGAAGCACCUCUGUUAAUUGUAUUAUCCUCAACUUGUCAAUGAAUUUUAAGUACAUUCUGGUUUGCAUUUCAUAUCAUCUUAACAGUGACAUCUUCACAUCUCGUGUUUUCC